UACGGAGGGUGCGAGCGUUGUCCGGAAUCAUUGGGCGUAAAGGGCGCGUAGGUGGCCCGGUCAGUUCGUGGUGAAAGCGCGGGGCUCAACCCUGCGUCGGCCAUGAAUACUGCCGCGGCUGGAGCACUGUAGAGGCAGGCGGAAUUCCGGGUGUAGCGGUGGAAUGCGGUAGAGAUCCGGAAGAACACCGGUGGCGAAGGCGGCCUGCUGGGCAGUUGCUGGACACUGAGGCGCGACAGCGUGGGGAGCAAACAGGG
rnacentral:rRNA from 1 species